AUAGAAAGGCUGGAUGGAACCUACCGAAUCUCAAAACGUGUGGCAUCCCGUGAGUGUAACCAAGAAAAAGCAGCAGAAGCGGGAGCAGCCUGAGGUUGAGAACGAGACUGGUUAUCGUCAGAUGAUGGGAGGAAGACUUUGUGGUUCCCACUGGGUUGUAGACAGUGAAAAAUCAACUAGAAUGUCUCCUCCAGAGUUGAAAGUUCCAGCGAUCCCGCCCACAAGUAAGAGGCCCAGUGGAAGCACCUUAUCAGCAUCCGCCCCCAUGAGCAGCUCUUCAUAGGCGAGUGCAUCAGCUGGAAGUAAAGAUAGCAUUGACAUGGAGAAGGAAACCAUGGAAACGAGAAGCUGAUGCACUUUGAAUGUGCAGCGUGGUGUCAGGCUGAGAUCUCCCAACUUUCCCGCUUCCAUCUUGCGGCUGAAAUCCACUCUGUUUCCACACAGAUCCAGGGAUCAACUGUUUCAGCUCGGGGGGUCCCAGACAGAGUUGUUGCUUCAAUUCCGGCCGGAUUGAGGCAAAUUUUUCCGGGGUAUAGUCUCC